UUGAGCAUGGCUUGUAUUUAACUGUACAAAGUUUUUCUAUUAUUUUUCAGUUCGUAAUGUGAAAAUGGGGACGAAGCAACCCACUGGUUUCACGUUUACAUCUUUAAAGUCCUUCAUCCACGGUGAAGCUGGAAACAUUUCAGCAAAGUUAUCAAAUGUGAAAUUGGUUGUUUCAUCCAACAAAAAGAAACAAAAAAAAGAAAAAAAAAGAAACAAGGAAAAAAAUGAAAAAAGAGAAAAAAAAAAUAAAAAAAAUCUGACAUUGUAAUAGGCCUCUCUUUAUUGCAUAGAAGCGUUGCACACUUAAUUGUUGGGACUCAUGGAUACUUGAAAGAAGUACCCAUGCUCAUAAAGCGCAUCAACUUAUGAAUUGGUGCAAGAAUCAUAUUCUUGUAUGUUGAGAUUGAAAGUUCGAUCGAAGAGGAUGCAUUGGGAAUGCAACCGGGACCUGGUGAAGCUCGUGUUUUAUAUGUUUUGUUUCCCAUUCUCCGUCUAGUUCUUAAGUUUGGCAGAUCAUCAAUAAGUGAAUAUCUACUGCUCUUGAUCUGCAGCUUGCCAGGUGGAUUUGGAGAUGAUCUGAAUCUGAAUUAUAUUGUGGG